CGCCUAUUAAUAGAAUAGUAGGUAGAUUCUGCCCAAUGAUACUUGAAUGGCCGCAGUAUCCUAACUGUGCUAAGGUAGCAUAAUAAUUUGUCCUUUAAUUGAGGGCUGGUAUGAAUGAACUGACGAAGGGAAAAUUGUCUCUGUAAAUUAACAAAAAUUUUAUGUCUAUGUAAAAAAGCUUAGAUAAUGUAGGGGGACGACAAGACCCUAGAAGCUUUACCCUUAAAGCUUUUAAAUAUAUAUACCUAUAAAGUCUAUUGGGUUUUUACUGGGGCGGUAAUUCUUUUAACAAGAGUUGAUAAAACACGUUGAGUGACUCCAUUUAACUUAUCUUAUAAAAUAGAAUUAAGUUACUCUAGGGAUAACAGCGUAAUUCUCUGCUAGAGUCCUUAUCGACCAGAGAGCUUACGACCUCGAUGUUGAAUUGAAGCCCUACUUAGAGCAGCAUCUAAAUAAAGGAAGACUGUUCGUCUUUUAAAUCUUCACG
rnacentral:rRNA from 1 species